GUGAGGAAUAUUGGACAAUGGGCGCAAGCCUGAUCCAGCCAUGCCGCGUGCAGGAAGACGCAUCUAUGGUGUGUAAACUGCUUUUGUACGGGAAGAAACACUCCCUCGUGAGGGAGCUUGACGGUACCGUAAGAAUAAGGAUCGGCUAACUCCGUGCCAGCAGCCGCGGUAAUACGGAGGAUCCAAGCGUUAUCCGGAACCAUUGGGUUUAAAGUGUCCGUAGGCGGUUUAAUAAGUCAGUGGUGAAAGCCCAUCGCUCAACGAUGGAACGGCCAUUGAUACUGUUAGACUUGAAUUACAAGGAAGUAACUAGAAUAUGUAGUGUAGCGGUGAAAUGCUUAGAUAUUACAUGGAAUACCAAUUGCGAAGGCAGGUUACUACUUGUGGAUUGACGCUGAUGGACGAAAGCGUGGGGAGCGAACAGGAUUAGAUACCCUAGUAGUCC
rnacentral:rRNA from 1 species